rnacentral:piRNA from 1 species
UGGAAAUGAUUCCAGCCAUGGUCCCC